rnacentral:lncRNA from 1 species
CAGCUGGGGGGCCUCAGGAGCUCGUUGCUCCAGGAAGCUGGGGCUGAGGAUUCCUGGCUGUGGGGGCUCCAUCUGGCCCUCCUGCCUCUGCAUCUCCCAGGACAGGAACCAUCUGGAGGAAGGGCCUGGGUGGCCUAAGACAAGGUAAUUCCAGGCCAAGGCCACCCCGGGCAGAGCCGGGGUUGUGGGGGGAAGCCUUGACUGUCCUUCUCCUCUGUCCAGCGUCAUACCUAGAGGCUCCUGGGAGGUUUCUGUGAGUGGGGCUGGUUGCUGGGGGUGGCUCUGACCCUCCUUGUCCCUCCUAUGCAGCAGCCCCUCCCUGCUUGCCAGGGGCAGAGGCAGGGGCCCAGCUCCCGGCUGAGAAGGGAGUCGGCACAGCCCAGGAUUUGGUGCUAAUCCCGGCAGCCGUGCCAUCCUGGCCCCGCUGAGCCGUGGACUUCUCACCUCCGGGACGCCGCACCCCCCCCCUUGGAGAGAGGGCUGUCCAGGGCGGUGAGGAUUCCUGAGCCUUGCGUGGUCUGUCCCCCAGACAGCUCUCCCUCCAGCCUGCUGCCAUGGGAACUCCUGCUGCCUUUGAUCCACGCGGUGCGAAUGACAGACUGGGAGAAACCCGGACUGUGGCAUGACCUCCCACCUGGGACCCUUGCACUCGGCUGCUGCCUCUCACCUGCUCCACUCAGCCUCCUGAAGUACUCAUGGGUGUGGGUCCGGGAGGUCCGUGCUUCAGGAAUGAAAGCCCCUGGGGGACUGCUGUGUGUCCUGGGCACUGAAGUGGCCACACACCCUGGAUGCUCGGUGCAGCAGACGCUGGCCUUGCCCCCGGCCCACCGGGCCUCGGGGGACAUGAACAUGUCUUGUCUCUGGUGCAGGGUGGUUGUGGUCUGACAGGCCAGUGACAUGUCCCUGCUGAGGGCUGUGGGUCAUGUCACCCAUUUGGAGGUCUUGGGUGCCCCAGCAAUGCCCCAUCACUUCCUGUGGCUGGUCAUGCAAGCUUAGGUAUACAGUCUAUGUUUCCAGCUCCUGACUCUCCACCCCCACUCCAGUUUGAACUGUGUCUGGCAGAUACUGAAGUAGCAGCCCAGCCAUGCCCCUCUCCCCUGGUCUCUCCUCAGUGGCGGCUAUUCCCCUCCACUCCCGGAUCCAAAUCUUCCUAAGGGUGGCAGGAGGUGAGGCCGACGGUGACUCUCACGCCGGCACUCGGCUGCCCCCCUGUGGCCCACGUGAGCAACAGCACCGCUUCAUCCAGCAGGAAUAUUGGGGUCAGACAGGAGUCCAGCCUGAGCCCCGAGGGGGGGGGUUUGAAAUGGAGUGAAUUUUGUCAUCGUGUGCACUUAAUUCUAGAUUGUAAACCUUCCUGAACCUCAAUCUCUUCGUCCAUAAAGUGGAGGCAAUGAUGUCAUUGUAAGGAUCAAAUAGGUAAUGUGCUUGACUGUAGAUAAAAGGCUUCCUACGCUGUAAUUACCACGUGACCUUGUUAUUAUUUUCCCUGACUCUGACCGUCCCCAGAGGAGAGGAGUAGAGCCUCCCACCCUGUUCCUGGGAACUCCUCCUUUGUUCAUCUUUUCUGUGAGUGUUUACUGGGUGACUGCUGUGUGCCAGGCGUGCUCUGGGAGCUGGGCAUGAGGAGGUGACUGAGACAGAGUCCCUGCCCCCGGGAGCUCACAGUCUAGGGAAGAGCUGCUCAGAACACUGAGUUGAAGUCGACAGUUGGAGGAGCCCAGCAUCGAUGGAGCCAAGUGCAGAGGGGGACGGGCUAGUAGAGGAGGCGGCGUCUGAGUGGGAGAAGGACAUUCUGG